AUUGAACGCUGGCGGCAGGCUUUACACAUGCAAGUCGAGCGGAGCGGCGGACGGGUGAGUAAUGCCUGGGUAUCUGCCUGGUCGUGGGGGCUAACGUCCGGUAACGGGCGUUAAUACCGCAUACUCUCAGAUGAGCCUAGGCCGGAUUAGCUAGUUGGUGGGGUAAAGGCCUACCAAGGCGACGAUCCGUAACUGGUCUGAGUGGAUGAUCAGUCACACUGGAACUGAGACACGGACCAGACUCCUACGGGAGGCAGCAGUGGGGAAUAUUGGACAAUGGGCGAAAGCCUGAUCCAGCCAUGCCGCGUGUGUGAAGAAGGUCUUCGGAUUGUAAAGCACUUUAGGUUGGGAAGCGGUACCAGCAGAAUAAGCACCGGCUAACUACGUGCCAGCAGCCGCGGUAAUAC
rnacentral:rRNA from 1 species